UACAGAGGGUGCGAGCGUUAAUCGGAAUUACUGGGCGUAAAGCGUGCGUAGACGGUUAUGUAAGUCGGGUGUGAAAGCCCCGGGCUCAACCUGGGAAUUGCAUUCGAGACUGUGUAGCUAGGGUGCGGAAGAGGGAAGCGGAAUUUCCGGUGUAGCGGUGAAAUGCGUAGAUAUCGGAAGGAACACCAGUGGCGAAAGCGGCUUCCUGGUCCAGCACCGACGUUCAGGCACGAAAGCGUGGG
rnacentral:rRNA from 1 species